UACGUAGGGUGCAAGCGUUGUCCGGAAUUAUUUGGCGUAAAGAGCUCGUAGGCGGUCUGUCGCGUCUGCUGUGAAAAUCCAGGGCUCAACCCUGGACCUGCAGUGGGUACGGGCAGACUAGAGUGCGGUAGGGGAGAUCGGAAUUCCUGGUGUAGCGGUGAAAUGCGUAGAGAUCGGGAAGAACAUCGGUGGCGAAAGCGCUCUACUGGACCGCAACUGACACUCAGGGACGAAAGCUAGGGGAGCGAAUGGG
rnacentral:rRNA from 1 species